rnacentral:rRNA from 1 species
UACGGGGGGAGCAAGCGUUGUUCGGAUUUACUGGGCGUAAAGGGCACGUAGGCGGCAAUUCAAGUCAUCUGUGAAAUCUCCGGGCUUAACUCGGAACGGUCAGAUGAUACUGCUUUGCUAGAGUGCGGAAGGGGCAAUCGGAAUUCUUGGUGUAGCGGUGAAAUGCGUAGAUAUCAAGAGGAACACCUGAGGUGAAGACGGGUUGCUGGGCCGACACUGACGCUGAUGCGCGAAAGCCAGGGGAGCAAACGGG